UCCUACGGGAGGCAGCAGUGGGGAAUAUUGCACAAUGGGGGGAACCCUGAUGCAGCAACGCCGCGUGAGCGAUGAAGGUCUUCGCAUUGUAAAGCUCUGUCUUCGCUGACGAUAAUGACGGUAAGCGAGGAGGAAGCCACGGCUAACUACGUGCCAGCAGCCGCGGUAAA
rnacentral:rRNA from 1 species